GCCAGGCGAGGUGGCAUGUGCCUGUAGUCCCAGCUACUCGGGAGGCUGAGGCUGGAGGAUCGCUUGAGUCCAGGAGUUCUGGGCUGUAGUGCGCUAUGCCAAUCAGAUGUCCCCACUAAGUUCGGCAUAAAUAGGGUGACCUCCUGGGAGCGGGGGACCACCAGUUUGCCUAAGGAGGGGUGAACUGGCUCAGGUCAGAAACAGAGCAGGUCAAAACUCCUGUGUUGAUCAGUAGUGGGAUCCCCUGUGUGAAUAGCCACUGCACUCCAGCCUGGGCAACAUAGCAAGACCCUGUCUCU
ensembl:misc_RNA Metazoa_SRP Metazoan signal recognition particle RNA